UACGUAGGGGGCUAGCGUUGUCCGGAAUCAUUGGGCGUAAAGAGCGUGUAGGCGGCCCGGUAAGUCCGCUGUGAAAGUCGGGGGCUCAACCCUCGAAUGCCGGUGGAUACUGUCGGGCUAGAGUGCGGAAGAGGCGAGUGGAAUUCCUGGUGUAGCGGUGAAAUGCGCAGAUAUCAGGAGGAACACCGAUUGCGAAGGCAGCUCGCUGGGACGUAACUGGCGCUGAGACGCGAAAGCGUGGGGAGCAAACAGG
rnacentral:rRNA from 1 species